rnacentral:rRNA from 1 species
AACGAACGCUGGCGGCAUGCCUAACACAUGCAAGUCGAACGAGACCUUCGGGUCUAGUGGCGCACGGGUGCGUAACGCGUGGGAACCUGCCCUUAGGUUCGGAAUAACUCCCCGAAAGGGGUGCUAAUACCGGAUAAUGUCUUCGGACCAAAGAUUUAUCGCCUUUGGAUGGGCCCGCGUUGGAUUAGCUAGUUGGUAGGGUAAAAGCCUACCAAGGCGACGAUCCAUAGCUGGUCUGAGAGGAUGAUCAGCCACACUGGGACUGAGACACGGCCCAGACUCCUACGGGAGGCAGCAGUGGGGAAUAUUGGACAAUGGGCGAAAGCCUGAUCCAGCAAGGCCGCGUGAGUGAUGAAGGCCUUAGGGUUGUAAAGCUCUUUACCCGGGAUGAUAAUGACAGUACCGGGAGAAUAAGCUCCGGCUAACUCCGUG